rnacentral:rRNA from 1 species
GGCCUACCAUGGUGGUAACGGGUAACGGGGAAUUAGGGUUCGAUUCCGGAGAGGGAGCUGAGAAACGGCUACCACAUCCAAGGAAGGCAGCAGGCGCGCAAAUUACCCAAUCCCGACACGGGGAGGUAGUGACAAUAAAUAACAAUACGGGGCUCUUUCGGGUCUCGUAAUUGGAAUGAGUACAAUUUAAAUCCCUUAACGAGGAACAAUUGGAGGGCAAGUCUGGUGCCAGCAGCCGCGGUAAUUCCAGCUCCAAUAGCGUAUAUUAAAGUUGUUGCAGUUAAAAAGCUCGUAGUUGAAUUUCGGGAUUGGCGCAUCGGUCGUGCCUCACGGGGUAUGAACUGGUGCAGUCAAUUUCUCACCUUCUGGAGAACCGCGAUGUCCUUAAUUGGAUGCCGCGGGGAACCAGGACCUUUACUUUGAAAAAAUUAGAGUGUUUAAAGCAGGCAUUUUUGCUUGAAUACAUUAGCAUGGAAUAAUAAACUAGGACGGCAUGGUUCUAUUUUGUUGGUUUCUAGGACCACCGUAAUGAUUAAUAGGGAUAGUUGGGGGCAUUAGUAUUCAAUUGUCAGAGGUGAAAUUCUUGGAUUUAUUGAAGACUAACUACUGCGAAAGCAUUUGCCAAGGAUGUUUUCAUUAAUCAAGAACAAAAGUUAGGGGAUCGAAGACGAUCAGAUACCGUCGUAGUCUUAACCAUAAACUAUGCCGACUAGGAAUCAGACGAUGUUAAUUUUUUAAUGACUCGUUUGGCACCUUACGGGAAACCAAAGUGUUUGGGUUC